UACAGCCAGUUGUUUGACAGGUUUUCUAUCCAGCGCUCUAUACAAACACUGCCACACCCUCUGAAAGGCAAAUGGCUCUCACCUUCCUACAGACCAGGUGUAAGGUGGAGGAGGGGGGCCGACCUCAUUAUCCCCAACGGGAGGGGCAAAGGGGAAGUGAAGAAACAGGAUGAAACGUUUGUGGCUCAUACUGACAUGCCGCUCUGAGGGCUCCUGUGAGCGCAGCCAUGGAUGGUGUGUUGGAGGCAGCUACAGUGUUGUCCUCAUGUAAAGUGGCCUGCAGCCUUCUCUUCCUGCCCUCGGUUACCACUUCCUCCAGUCCCAUCAGCUUCUGCUGCUGCUGUCUACUGCUGUUCACCGACCUCCUAGUCACAGCAUUUCUAACUUUCCUGUAUAUUGCUGAGUCUUGGCUACCACAGCUCUCUCUGCCUAGCGACGUCAUAGCCCUUCGUUUCCUACUGUUUCUCAGCCAUACGUAUGGGACCGUCGUGCUGUUUAUAGCCCCUCU